rnacentral:rRNA from 1 species
CUAUGCGCCUUGCCAGCCCGCUCAGGUGUGCCAGCAGCCGCGGUAAUACGUAGGGGCAAGCGUUAUCCGGAUUUACUGGGUGUAAAGGGAGCGUAGACGGCCAGGCAAGUCUGAAGUGAAAGCCCGGGGCUCAACCCCGGGACUGCUCUGGAAACUGUAAAGCUGGAGUGCGGGAGGGGCAGGCGGAAUUCCUAGUGUAGCGGUGAAAUGCGUAGAUAUCAGGAGGAACACCGGCGGCGAAGGCGGCCUGCUGGACCGUAACUGACGUUGAGGCUCGAAAGCGUGGGGAGCAAACAGG